AAGACCUUGCGCUUUUGGAGCGGCCGAUGCCUGAUUAGCUAGUUGGUGGGGUAAUGGCCUACCAAAGCUUCGAUCAGUAGCUGGUCUGAGAGGACGGCCAGCCACACUGGGACUGAGACACGGCCCAGACUCCUACGGGAGGCAGCAGUGGGGAAUUUUGGACAAUGGGCGCAAGCCUGAUCCAGCCAUGCCGCGUGAGUGAAGAAGGCCUUCGGGUUGUAAAGCUCUUUCAGCCGGGAAGAAAAGGUUGCGAUUAAUAAUCGCAAUUUAUGACGGUACCGGAAGAAGAAGCACCGGCUAACUACGUGCCAGCAGCCGCGGUAAUACGUAGGGUGCGAGCGUUAAUCGGAAUUACUGGGCGUAAAGGGUGCGCAGGCGGCUUUGUAAGUCAGAUGUGAAAUCCCCGGGCUUAACCUGGGAACU
rnacentral:rRNA from 1 species